AUUGAACGCUGGCGGAAUGCUUUACACAUGCAAGUCGAGCGGCAGCGCGGGGCAACCUGGCGGCGAGCGGCGAACGGGUGAGUAAUGCAUCGGAACGUACCCCGUCGUGGGGGAUAACUACCCGAAAGGGUAGCUAAUACCGCAUACGACCUGAGGGUGAAAGCGGGGGACCGAAAGGCCUCGCGCGAUGGGAGCGGCCGAUGCCGGAUUAGCUAGUUGGUAGGGUAAAGGCCUACCAAGGCGACGAUCCGUAGCUGGUCUGAGAGGACGACCAGCCACACUGGAACUGAGACACGGUCCAGACUCCUACGGGAGGCAGCAGUGGGGAAUUUUGGACAAUGGGCGAAAGCCUGAUCCAGCCAUUCCGCGUGAGUGAAGAAGGCCUCGG
rnacentral:rRNA from 1 species